AUGCUCUCACUGCUGAGGAGACCACCAUAUUUUUUGCCUGAAUCAUUUCAAGAUAUCCUGAAGAUAUCAGUCAAGUUUUCUGAUUAAACUAUGGAUAUUGACAUGGUCACUCGGCAUCAUCAGUUCCUGUUGACUUCAAACAGGGAAGAGGAUAUUCAUCACAGAACCUGAGGUCCCAAUCCUGCGAAGUUUCCUGCAUGUUCUUAACUUUAACACUGACUUCAAGUGUCUGCAGCAUUGAGGACCUGUUCAAAGCCGAUUGAAGUCAGUAGAGAAGCUCUCAUUCACUUUUAGGGGAACAGGUCCUAUGUUUGUAAUGCUAGAGAUAACUGUAUUUACUGUUAGUUGCAAUGCUUUGUCUAAACUGCUGCUGCUUCCUGAUUCCAGGCCUAUAUUUCAAUUCCCAACUUCUUGUAAGUUAUUAUCAAAUGCUUCUUUUUUUAAAAACUUGUUUUUGUUAUCAAUAAAUGAUCUAUUCCCUUACAGAAAAUAAAUUGCUUCCAAAU